rnacentral:rRNA from 1 species
UACGUAGGGGGCUAGCGUUGUCCGGAUUUAUUGGGCGUAAAGAGCGUGUAGGCGGCCAGGUAGGUCUGGUGUGAAAACUCGAGGCUUAACCUCGAGAUGUCAUCGGAAACCAUCUGGCUAGAGUCCGGAAGAGGAGAGUGGAAUUCCUGGUGUAGCGGUGAAAUGCGCAGAUAUCAGGAAGAACACCCGUGGCGAAGGCGGCUCUCUGGGCCUUACCUGACGCUGAGGAGCGAAAGCGUGGGGAGCGAACAGG